GGCAUAGCUCAGUGGUAGAGCAUCUACUUUGGAUGCAAAAGGUCCCAGAUUCAAUCCCCAAUGGUAUCUCUA